CCGCGCUCGCGUCUCCUCUGGCUCCUCUGCCUAAGGGCCCCUCGCCACCGCCACCAUGGACGCCAUCAAGAAGAAGAUGCAGAUGCUGAAGCUCGACAAAGAGAACGCCUUGGAUCGAGCAGAGCAGGCGGAGGCUGACAAGAAGGCUGCGGAAGACCGGAGCAAGCAGCUCGAGGAGGACAUCUCAGCAAAAGAGAAGCUGCUGCGGGCGUCGGAGGACGAGCGGGACCGGGUGCUGGAGGAGCUGCACAAGGCAGAGGACAGCCUGCUGGCUGCCGACGAGACCGCCGCCAAGGUACCCGGGCGCGCGGUGUGGCACUGCACACGAAUGGCUAACUUUCUCUUUCUCUCUCCCUCCCUGUCUUUCCCUCUCUCUCUCUUUCCCGCUGUCCCUGUCCUUUAUGGUCUACGCACCCUCAACCCGCACCUUGCGGGAUC
rnacentral:lncRNA from 1 species